AGUCACCGAGGGCCGCAGAUAGGGGGCGAGUGGGCACCGGCGUGGGAGGGCAAAGUUGAGCUGACGCCUGGGCGCGGCGCGGAGCUCGGAGCGCUGGGACUGGGCACCGCCACCAGGAGCCUUGGGGCUGGAGCAGAGCGAGCGGGCGGCUACAUUGUCGGGCGAAGAGCUACGUUGUUGCGCUGGCGCGAGAGGAGACAGUAUCUCUCUCCAGUUUGGCUCCCUGUUGGACUUCGUGUGUGCUGCACAUGGCCAGACCCACCCAGGGGUCCAGUUCCCUCCUGUGAGCUGAACAAAGCUACUCCAGCAUGCGCUCAACAGGGACCUAACAUCUCAGGAGUAAGAGCAAAGAGCUGUAAAGACGACCGGGAGGGGCACGCUAGGCGGAGGCGAGCAGCACUCGGGCAGCACGGGUGGAGCCCUGCACGUCUGGUAUGGGGACCAGCCAAAGUGAAUUCUAGAAUGAAGUGUCAAGCUGUGAAGGUGAAAAC